ensembl:lncRNA
AGCUCAGCGGAGCCAAAAGACUCCACUCCACCUGGACACCCUUCAGUCUGGGUCUUCACUGAUGCUCAGGCUGCUCUCUGGUUGCAGUGACCAGGCUUCUCACUGCACCUUGUGGAGCACAGGUUCCAGGCUUUGGGCUCAGUAGUCGUGGUGCCUGGGCUUUAUUGCCCCUCGGCCUGUGGGAUCUUCCAGGACCAGGGAUCGGAACGCAUGUCGCCUGGAUUGCAAGGUGGAUUGCGAACCACUGAACCACCAGGGAAGUCCCAAUCAAUCUUUCAGUUUUUGAAUGCUGCAUAUUGAGAAAAUCGGGAUCGUGAGAAUUUUAGAAUCCCCAGCUCUUUAGACAAAGAAAAAUGGAAUAGCCCCUGCUCACCGCAACAAGGGAGAGACCCUCUGUUUCCAACUCUCUAAAGGUCUGUCAUGGAAAGGACAGAGCAGACUUACUCUGUUAGGUGACAGAAGAAGAAUGAGAGUCCAACAGUGAAAUCUACACGGGGACAAAUGGCCCUCACAUCAGAAAAGAAAUUCUAGUGACCAAAGCCACCCAGAGAACAGGCAGCCACGGAAGCAGUGAGCCCCGGACAGUGGAGGCAUCCCAGGGCUUGGCAGUGGCCAGAGAUUAAACAGAGCAGUGUAAGGUCCUUUCAGCCCCCAAAUGGACUUUGCACCUCUGGUUCAGCUACAAGGCAUCUAGAAUAUUUCUACUUCAGGCUUUCAGGCUCCAUCCUGAGGCUCUAACACAACAAAAGGAAGGGCUAUCAAGAAAGAGUGAAGAUACCACGAAACACAGAUGUUGGUCUUAUGAAGAAGGUGGCCCCUUGGGGAGACAGAGGCAUAAAAGAAAAGAAAAACAGUGUCGACUGGCCCUUCCUCCAGGGAACACCAUGGUCGGGGAGCCAUAUUUGCAAGCUGGCAACACUACGAACCUCCUAAGAAUUCUGGGUUUACUUGGUUUCUCCGAAGCCAGCUCGUUAUAGGAAGAGAAACCUGCAGCCUCAACUCCGACUUAUCGCCAGAGAACCUCACUGCCUCCCCUAACAGGACUCUGCUACAAGGGAUUGCUCCAGGCCAGAUUUCACUUUCUAAACUUCUCUUGGGAAAUUACUGGAGGCUUGGUCACAGACACUGUCUCCAUAAAGGAGAUCUUCAGUGUAAAAAGUAUUUAACAUUAUCAUUCAUCUCCCUUUCUCAGUUACACUUCAUUCUUUCUUCUCCACUUAACCUAAACACCAAGAGCAUUCAAAUGGAUGUAAUGACUUCAUGGACAGAAUAUAAU